UCAGGCUUGGGCAGGAGAGGGGGCCGAUUUUCCGCCCAGGGGAUGGGGACGUUUAACCCGGCUGAUUACACGGACCCAGCCAGCACGGACGAGUACUACGGGAACCCCAACCCGACGUGGAACAGCGCUGGCACCUUUGAGCCCGACGAUGGGACGAGUAAUCAAUCCAGU